AGCCAACCCUGUUGUGGGGAAUCAGAGAAGGUAUCUCAAAUGGGAAGUCCAAUCUGGGUGCUUAGAGAUGUGUAAGAGUGAGCCAGGCGAAAGGAGGUGAACGUUCUCAGCUUCUCCUGAUUUGUUAACUUGGAAGUCAUAUUCUUUGUCUACCCCAAAGGACUACAGGGCCAAUGAGAACAGAAACUGCUUUCGUUCUGCCCCAACACACAACAGAAACAGAAGAACUGAAACCUCAGCUGAGGCUUCUGCUCUCGCAUUUCAGUAUCUCUUAUGACGUGGAAGAGCUGAGCGAUGCUUCUAAGGAGACAGAACUUUUUGCCUUGGUUUCCCCAAAAUUUCAAAGCAUCUUCAUGGAACAACAGAGAAUGCAAACGUUUCCAGACUAUAAUGCUGGGAUAGCUAAAGUGGAAAAUUUGAAUUUGGCAGGACCUCGUAGGGCCUUGAAAAAGGGAGCCAACUGGACUUCCUUUAUAAAGAUUAAGCCAAAAUGUGAUCCUUGGCAAAAGAAGCUUUUGACCAAACUAAAAGAACGGAGAAGAAUAGAUGUAUUAAUGCAACUCCAAGCAAAGUUUUUGAAGAUUUCCAAUCCUGAGCGAGUAAUGCAAGUGCUCCAGGAUCAUGCUGCAAAGACAGUCUUGCUGGCUUCAUCUCAUCCAACAUGUGUGGCUUCCCAGGGCAACUAUGACCAAAUCUGGGAGACUAUUUAUAGCAACAUCAACCUCUACCAGUUUUCCAGGAGAAAAUGAGAUUUGCAAUCAGAAUAAAUAUCAGAACUGUCAAAAUACAUGAACUCAGCCAUUCUGGUGAAGAUCCAGACACAAGGUAGAGUAAAUGUCAAAGUACCUACCCAGGAAGAGAGAACGAACACAGUUGGUGACAUUCUGCUUUCUCAUCAGCCCUCUGCUAACCUGCUUUGUGUCCAGUUCUCUUAGGGAAAUACACUUGUGGACUUUCAGCAUUUCCUGAGCAGUUUGUCUCUGUGGGCUAUGGUUAGCUCAUUGUUCCCGGAGGAUGCUGGGCUCUCUGUCUUUACUCACCCUAGCCUGCUGUGCCCCCUUCCUUUCUUCCCAGUGACCUGCCAGUCCAACAGUAUGUUUGUAGUUUGUUCAGUCAUUCCUUCAAAGUCAUUCACUGUAACUUGACGUCACUUUCUAUUCCUUUGUGUGUAAUUCUGGGUAAUUUUAGAAGCCUGAAAGAGUCACAAACCUAUCAGAGAAAAGCUAUGGCUCCUAGCCUACCCCCUGGAGCCUGGAAAUGUCAUCUUGUCUGGAACAAGACUAGAUUAGAGAGCUUCAGGGUUCCAAACAUCUACAAAUGCAUGGGUCUUCUUUUCAUAAAAUGAAUCAUAGUAAAAAUAGUGACCUCUAAUUUAUUUUAGAAACCCAGAUUUUCAUAUGUCAGGUUGAAAUGGAUCAUAAUGCUCUUCUACUUGUUCAUGUAAAUAUGCCUUGGAUCAAGAGAUUUACUUUUGAUUUUGU
ensembl:lncRNA